CAGGAUUCGUGUCUGACUUGCCAACGCCACAUGUUGGGAGUGAGAACACAAAACAGUGGUAACCAUUAUAAAGACACAACUGAGCGUGUCUUCUAGACUGCUCCUUUUACAAACCAGAACACAAGAGGAGGAGUCUGGCAGAUGAGAAUGACAGAGAGACCAGCUGUAUGUUUCCUCCUCUCUUACACUGCCGGCCAAAUUGCCCUCCAUCCCCCUCCUAAAACCCACAGCCCAUCUCUCAGCAUCCUAACACCUCCACAAUGCUGGACAUUUUCAUUUUGAUGUUUUUUGCUAUUAUCGGUCUGGUUUUGCUUUCCUACAUCAUCUACAUCUUAUAAGAGGCUACGAUGGGCCUAGGAAUUGCUCAUCACUUGUUUGCAGUUUUUCCAGUUAUGAAAAUUUCCAGUUUGAAGUGCACACUGAAGCUAGGAAUUCUGGGAUGCCAUGUGCAUAAUUAUUGGGCAGGUGGCCUUCCUGGAUGGAAAAUGUAAAGCUGAGUUUAAUUUCGUCCUUCGUUGUUCCUGGGUUGACAUUUGGUUUCCUCUUCAUGUACAUCUGUUCCUGUUUCUCUGAACUGUUGUCCUCAGCAUGCAGCUGCAACAUUAACAAGGAUAUGGGAGGGUCUUUUGGGGGGUUUUGUAUUUCUCCAUCUCCUCUCAUUGGUUGUUUUUCCUUUAUAUUGUUAACUAUUUCUUUGCUGCUGUGUGGUGUCAGUAAAGACGGUUAAGCAAA